AUGGAGCACCAACAGACAACCAGUCAAUCAUUAUGGGAUGAAUGGAGACAAAGCUGCAGCUGGCUGGCAGUCCAUCGCCUUUCCUGCCCGCAGUCCCAGGGGAUCCAGGCUGGGGUAAGGGACAGCUCUUCACGUGAUCCUCUGUGCUCCCAAAGACGCAUCGAGUUUAUCAGGAUGUCUAGAGGUGAAAGUUUGGGUUCUCCUGACCCCUCUGCAUCUCUCAGUUAAACGUUCAGGUUGGUUUUGAGCUUCCCAGGGCUCCAGAGAUUUGGAAUGUGGUGCAGAGGUACAGAGGUAAUGCUUAAGACAGAUGCUUCUAAAACAUAAUAAUGUGACUCUUCUGCUUAAAAGCCUUUAAAGCCCUUCAUUGCCAAUGUUUCAUGACUUAUUUUUAUUUUUAAAAGGUUUUAUGUGUUCAUUUUAAGGAGAGAGGGAGCGGGAGUGGGGAGAGGCAGAGGGAGAGAGGGAAAGAACCCGAAGGAGACUGCACACAGAGCCUGACGCAGGGCUCAAUCCCACCACCCUGAGAUCAUGAUCCGAGCUGAAGCCAAGAGUCAGACGCUCAACCGACUAAGCCACCUGGGCGCCCCAACACGGGUGCUUUGCAAUGUGGGUUUUGUGAUGAUUUGGGUGUGAUGAGGCCAACAAAUCAGCAAUCGCUGUUGAAAAGAUAAUGAGUUACAGUUGUCCAGAGGAGGGGCCUGCCGUGCGGUGCAGGGCCCCACUGGGAAGCCACAGGGUGGGUCUGGGGCCAGUGAGAGCAAUGGCAGAGUGUGGGCAGCAGCCUUUAUGGUGGUUUCCUCAGGAAAGGCAAGGCAAGGCGGGGUAAGCAGGCUUAGAAUUUGUUGGUUGAAUAAUUUUAGCGGGCUCUGGGGGGUGCAGAGGCCAUGCCUAGCUGUCUGGUACCUGACCCUGGGAUGAUUAGGGCAAAGCAAUGCAGCCUCCUGGGGUGUGAGGACCUCCUAGAGGAGAUGGGAGGCUGCGCUCUGGCUUGGCUGGCCCCUGUGGGAAAGGUGAGCUGGUGUCAGCAGGACCCCGGAUAGCAGGGCAGCAAGAAUUCAGAAAAUCCAGUUCACACAGCUGGUGUCUGCAGAAAGGGGCACCUCUCACCGGUGCUCCUGGCAGGUGCUCCGGAG
rnacentral:lncRNA from 1 species